rnacentral:rRNA from 1 species
CACGUAGGCGGCUUUGUAAGUUAGAGGUGAAAGCCUGGAGCUCAACUCCAGAACUGCCUUUAAGACUGCAUCGCUUGAAUCCAGGAGAGGUGAGUGGAAUUCCGAGUGUAGAGGUGAAAUUCGUAGAUAUUCGGAAGAACACCAGUGGCGAAGGCGGCUCACUGGACUGGUAUUGACGCUGAAGUGCGAAAGCGUGGGGAGCAAACA